GUAGAGACUGCCAUAUCCAGGUCAGUUCUUUCAAUGGAAUCUAAGGAACAUCAAGUGCAGGUACCAGGAGUAGGCUCUGGGUCACAAUGGGGUGUGGCCCUUGCAUGCUCCAUGUAAAAAUCUGAAUCAGUUAUGAAGUCCAACCCAAUGUCACUACCUGUUUCUGAGUCAUAUUUUUCAUCAGAUUCAGAACUGUCAGAAGGACAUGGGGAAGGAAUUUUACCAAUAUCAGAAGGAGCAGGACUGUCAGGAGCACAUUGUGAAGUACUUGGUUCUAUGUCAGCAGGAAUCCUGCUUUCAGCAGCACAGGUGGAAUGAGUUGGCUCAAUGACUGCAGGAUCCUCACAGUCAGGAGCACACUUGGAAGUAGUUGGCUCAACAUCAGCAGGAGCCCCAUUGACAGCAGCACAGGUGGAAGAAUUUGGCUCAGCAUCAGCAGGAGCCCUGCUGUCAGCAGCACAGGUGGAAUGAGUUGGCUCAAUGACUGCAGGAUCCUCACAGUCAGGAGCACACUGGGAAGAAGUUGUUGGCUCAUCAUCAGCAGGAGCCCCAUUGACAGCAGCACAGGUGGAAGAAUUUGGCUCAGCAUCAGCAGGAGCCCCAUUGACAGCAGCACAGGUGGAAGAAUUUGGCUCAGCAUCAGCAGGAGCCCUGCUGUCAGCAGCACAGGUGGAAUGAGGUGGCUCAAUGACUGCAGGAUCCUCACAGUCAGGAGCACACUGGGAAGAAGUAGUUGGCUCAACACCAGCAGGAGCCCCAUUGACAGCAGCACAGGUGGAAGAAUUUUGCUCAGCAUCAGCAGGAGCCCUGCUGUCAGCAGCACAGGUGGAAUGAGUUGGCUCAAUGUCACCAGGAGCCUCAAGCACAUGAAUUCUAUGCUUCCGAGGAAAGGUACGGAAAAUAGGUGGUUUAUUUCCUCGCACCUAUAAGGAAAAUUGGCAAUGUUACUUUUGAUUUAAAGUUUCACUGAUUUUAUUCAUUUUAUCACCUGUCUGCUAAUGUCAGAAUCUUGAUUUAUAGUCCCCAAAAUGUUUCUGUAUUCAGACCAACUUCAUCACUAAGGACACUAUCUGAUAUUCAGCAACCUCUGCUUCCUUUCUGCAUGAUGAGUAAAAGGCCCAGAGUAUCUAGAAAUCUUUGAUGGGGACCUGCUUAGUGUUAUGCUUUUAUCUUCUGCUCUUUGCUACCUCACAUCAUCAUUCUCUACAAAAUGGAAAGACAUAAAAAGAAAGGACAAAAUGUGUCCUCUCCUGUCUUUAUGACCUGAAUUUUGAAUUCCAGCCAGAUGAGGUGAAUAGGGCAGUGAGGUGCUCUGAAAACAAAAGGAACCUCUCUCUUCUGCACUACACUAACCCUUCCCCAAUGAAUGAUCUUCCACAGUUGUCCAUUAGAUACCUGGGAUAUCAGAACAGUGGAGCUGAAUUAUAAAAUGCAUGAAUCAAGUAUGUCACUACCUACAGCAGAGGGGAAUUGCUGAGUUCCAUGGAUGGAUUCUAUAUAUGCCUUCCAAAAUCUCACCUAUUAGCUCUAUGUCAAAGUAACUUUUAUGCACUAGGUGUAAUUGUAAUCUUUGAUGCUUACUACCUCCAUCUGAGUGAUAACCUAGACCUAGUCCUGGAAGCUUCUAGCCUCUGUGAAACUUAGCAUAGGCCUAGAAUAUUUUCUGCCUCUCAUACUUACUGCUGAAUAAGCACACCAUUAUUUCUGGUUCUUUUUCAUCUCUGGCUGACUGGUUCAACUCAGGUGUUCUAGCUCAAAGCUGCUCCCCAUGCUAACUGAUUCAGUCUGGAUUCUCUCUUGGCCUCUGAUGUUUUUUGUUCUGCUUGACCUCAAACUAACUAGCAAUUUUUUUCUAAUCUUCUGACUCCUUCAUAUUCUCUGGUUCAUUCUGCCUUCACCCGUGUCUUGCUGGUUCUCUCUUCAAUGAAUCUCUCUAAAACUGUCUGGGUAAAAAUGCCUCCUCUCUCUGUUUCUCUCUGCACUACCUCUCAAGUAGCUUCCCUUUCCUUUCUUCUUGAGAGAGUUGGACACAUUCUAUUUAAUCAAAACUUUCUCUGAUUCAUCAACUUCUCUGCCAUGCAAUUAGACAUCACUUUCAGACAAGGUGCUUCAUUCUACAAACUAACUUUACCUUGAUUGUUUAGGAUUAAGGGUGUUUACUAAGGAGGUGUCUGUAUUCUGGCUAGAGGGAUUAAAGUUUGGUGCAAAGGCUGAGUCACACAAUAACUAGACAAGAGUUUAUUGAGUAAACAACACAAUCAAACACAAGCACAGCAUGAUCAGCUAUCCUGCAUCACCAUGACUGUUGUUACACAGAGAGGAUGAAUAUAAUGACUUGAUCCAGCACCUCUGUGGUGGCUUGAAUGUCAGAGGCCCAUAGGCUCAUAUAAUGCUUGCUCUCCAGAUGGCUGACCUAUUCUGGAAAGGAUUAGAAGUUGUGGCCUUUUUGUUGGAUAUGUGUAACUGGGAUGGGCUUUAAGAUUACACUAGACAGGUGCCAUUCUCGUAAAGUUCUCUCUUUCCUGUGUAGGUCAAUAUGUGAUCAUUCUGCUGCUGCUUCAGUACCAUGCCUGCUGCCUGAGCCAUGAUGGUGAUGUGUGCA
rnacentral:lncRNA from 1 species